rnacentral:tRNA from 1 species
GUCAAGGUGGCAGAAAUAUGCGUCAAAGUUAAGUUUUGAAGAUAGAACAAAGCUUCUUCUUGAUA